AUGUGGCCGAGUGGUUAGAGAGACUUGUUUGUAACACGGAGAUCGGGAGUUCGAAUCCCACAGCCGGCAGGAAAUGUCUGAAAGGUCUCGGUGCGGUGGAUGGGUGAAGUGCAGAGGCAAUCAUGUCUUUUCGAUUUUUUCAUGUCUCUUUUCCUUACAUGGCGGUCCUACGGUUGUCAACAUUUUUAGACGUGCAGAACACGUCGAAAAAAAGACGUCACCUGGCGUUACAAAACAACCCCUUUUAUGGACUGGAUUCGGACGUCCAAAAAUUACAUGAAAAAGACGUAAUUCCGACGUCACUUUGCGCAGUGGGAUACCUCACCAAAAUUACAACCAAUGUUUGGCUCAAAACUUGCCUAAUGGAAGUGUUUUUCCCUUUUAUUAUUUCUCUUUUUGUAUAGGCCCAUCAGAGUGAUCUCCUGAGUUCUCUCACACAUGGUCAGCAAAUGGAUUAUCCAGUCACAGUACAUAAUGAAAGACUUGCCGAAGUUAGAAGAAGCUGAGUGAAUCUUCAGAGUGAUUCUUCAGAGAGAAGAUGUAAUGAUGGCUCACAAGAACCAAUGAAAUCUGGGAGACCUCAGAGUAUGUCCUUGCUGUGACUGUACAAAAACAGCUAAGUUAUGCCCGUGAACGGAUUGGUGUUUUAAAGAGCCUGCGUUCAACAGUGUCUCUGUUUAAUGUGAAGAAAAUCCAUCGCAUUUGCACCAGAGGAGGAGCUUCAGUUACUGAAUAGUCCUAAACAAUGAACUGUGGUAAUGUUUCAAUUUCUAAAUGUUUCAAGAAGUACAGUUGUGUUUGUCUUUGAGUUUUGUAUGGUAC